GAUGAACGCUGGCGGCGUGCUUAACACAUGCAAGUCGAACGGAAAGGCUCCUGCUUGCAGGGGUACUCGAGUGGCGAACGGGUGAGUAACACGUGGGUGAUCUGCCCUGCACUUCGGGAUAAGCCUGGGAAACUGGGUCUAAUACCGGAUAGGACCACAUUUUGGAUGGUGUGGUGGAAAGUUUUUCGGUGUGGGAUGAGCUCGCGGCCUAUCAGCUUGUUGGUGGGGUAAUGGCCUACCAAGGCGUCGACGGGUAGCCGGCCUGAGAGGGUGUACGGCCACAUUGGGACUGUGAUACGGCCCAGACUCCUACGGGAGGCAGCAGUGGGGAAUAUUGCACAAUGGGCGCAAGCCUGAUGCAGCGACGCCGCGUGGGGGAUGACGGCCUUCGGGUUGUAAACUCCUUUCGCUAGGGACGAAGCGUUUUUGUGACGGUACCUGGAGAAGAAGCACCGGCUAACUACGUG
rnacentral:rRNA from 1 species